GCAUAUCAAUAAGCGGAGGAAAAGAAACCAACCGGGAUUGCCUCAGUAACGGCGAGUGAAGCGGCAAAAGCUCAAAUUUGAAAUCUGGUACCUUCGGUGCCCGAGUUGUAAUUUGGAGAGGGCAACUUUGGGGCCGUUCCUUGUCUAUGUUCCUUGGAACAGGACGUCAUAGAGGGUGAGAAUCCCGUGUGGCGAGGAGUGCGGUUCUUUGUAAAGUGCCUUCGAAGAGUCGAGUUGUUUGGGAAUGCAGCUCUAAGUGGGUGGUAAAUUCCAUCUAAAGCUAAAUAUUGGCGAGAGACCGAUAGCGAACAAGUACAGUGAUGGAAAGAUGAAAAGAACUUUGAAAAGAGAGUGAAAAAGUACGUGAAAUUGUUGAAAGGGAAGGGCAUUUGAUCAGACAUGGUGUUUUGUGCCCUCUGCUCCUUGUGGGUAGGGGAAUCUCGCAUUUCACUGGGCCAGCAUCAGUUUUGGUGGCAGGAUAAAUCCAUAGGAAUGUAGCUUGCCUCGGUAAGUAUUAUAGCCUGUGGGAAUACUGCCAGCUGGGACUGAGGACUGCGACGUAAGUCAAGGAUGCUGGCAUAAUGGUUAUAUGCCGCCCGUCUUGAAACACGGACC
rnacentral:rRNA from 1 species